rnacentral:rRNA from 1 species
UACGUAGGGUGCGAGCGUUAAUCGGAAUUACUGGGCGUAAAGCGUGCGCAGGCGGCUUUGUAAGUCAGAUGUGAAAUCCCCGGGCUCAACCUGGGAAUGGCAUUUGGGACUGCAAGGCUGGAGUUUGGCAGAGGAGACUGGAAUUCCUGGUGUAGCAGUGAAAUGCGUAGAUAUCAGGAGGAACACCGAUGGCGAAGGCAGGUCUCUGGGCUGAAACUGACGCUCAUGCACGAAAGCGUGGGGAGCAAACAGG